rnacentral:misc_RNA from 1 species
GAAAUGCGAUAAGUAGUGUGAAUUGCAGAAUUCAGUGAAUCAUCGAAUCUUUGAACGCACAUUGCGCCCCUCGGUAUUCCGUGGGGCAUGCCUGUUCGAGCGUCAUCUACACCCUCAAGCUCUGCUGGGUGUUGGGCGUCUGUCCCGCCUCCUUCGCGCGCGGACUCGCCCCAAAUCCAUUGGCGGCGGCCCUUGCCUCCCUCUCGCGCAGCACAUUGCGCUUCUCGAGGCGCGGCGGACCGCGUCCAGCAAGCAACCGUCACACCGUCUUUGACCUCGGAUCAGGUAGGGAUACCCGCUGAACUUAAGC